ACAAAGGCAAGAAGGGCUUCUUUCUUCUGGUGGUUAGCAUGAACCUGGACUGGAGGUGACCUGGAGGAGUGACCACAGGAAGAGGUGGCCAUAAGAAGUAAGAACCUUCUUUCGCCAGUCUCUGCUGGAAUAUUCAUGGCUGAAAGUGGAACAGGAUUCAGGAUGAGAAGUGGUCCAGAGUGAGGACCAGAGCUGUUCAGAGAGGGCUCUAAGCCACUUCCCCAGUGGCUCUCGCCAAUUCUAUCGUUUAUGCGGUUGGUUACAAAGUGGCUGUCUGUGGUGAUGAGUACAGCUACCACUCACGAGGAUGCAGUCUUCUAAGCCUGGAAGGCCACCAAUUAAAAGUAUCGAUCAACUCCCAAAACUCAGAAGAAGCCCUGAACCCUGUAGAACCAAAUUUCAGCCACGAUUUAAUGGAUUCUGUAGCCGUAAACCAGCGCAUUCGUCUCAGUGUGCAAAUCGGCCUUUUGACUUCAACAACUGGUUCAUCAGAUCUACAGCAAAGAAUUACUUUUAAAUGAAUCCUUUUAGCC